GAUAACAAAUCGAUAUUAUUCAAGAAUCAUAUCGACGAGAAUGUUUGGUACCUUGAUGUCGGCUCUUCACCACCUCAGUUUCUAAUAUGUUUCAAGGUUGGGUUGUUCGUCCAUUAAAGUGGUACAUGAGCUCGGUUCAUAAUAUUCUAAGAUAGUUC
rnacentral:rRNA from 1 species